rnacentral:ncRNA from 1 species
UCAAGCAGAAGAGGAGCACUGCCCAGGCAGGUAUUUUGUGGAGCCUCAACUCCAAAACAAAAUACUCAGGGGGAGUAGUGCCGAGACAGUCUAUAGUUGUGGAUUUGGACUGUCGGGUGAAUGGGCUGAAUCCCUUCAACUGUCAUCAGUGCUAAACUGGUGGAGAGCUUCUGAGGUC